GCCAGCAGCCAUAUCACUCUGCAACUCACAUCUGGCAACCCCCUGGAGCUCAGCAGGUGUGAGCCUGGUCAGUACCUGGAUGGAAGACCUACUGGGAAAAACUAAGGUUGCUGCUGGAA
rfam:Lepisosteus oculatus linkage group LG5, whole genome shotgun sequence.